CCCAUUUGCCUUUGCAUUGUAUUUUUGUUUGCCAAACUUUGCUUAUGAUAUGUAUUGCAUGUUAAAAUUUGACUUUUUUUUUUUCUUCUUCAAAUUUUCAGACUUAGUUGUCUGUAUUAGAUUCUUCGUAAUUAUAUUAAAUCUAUUUGUAACAGGAUUCAAAAUAUAGGGGUCUCAUUUUUUAAGUUAGCAUAGGGCUCAUAUAUUAUUAGGGCUGGCCCUGUUCGCAGUUCGACUCACUGUUUCAAUUCCAGCAUGAAUAAUACCUUUUUUGAAUUGAAUCAUGGGGCGGAUAUCAAUACCUUCGGAAUCUGCUAUGACAAAACAAUGAAAUAAAACCACUCGAUAUUGAUAUCAGACCAAUUAUUUGCAUAUUUUUGUAGGAUAACGGAUAAGCGUCGUCUUUACUUUGAAUUUGAGCUCUUUCUUGAGGUAUCCUAUGAUGCCUUAUAGUUUGAGUAGGAUAUCAUAACCAUUCCCGCACCUUUUCAAAUUGCUAAAGAUAUGAAGGCAUAUGGAUGCUGACUGAGCAAUCCCUUCCAAUGCCAUUAGUCGUCCCUCCAUCUCCUACAAAGUGUUUUGGCAGGCUGCAAAAUUUGUCCUUGAUCACAAGCAUAGCAAACUUAUGGCCUACUCGGGGUGGAGGAUUGGAUAAUAUUCACGUGUAGAUCAUACAGAAAAUUCCUCGGAUAAUCAGCUAGAACAUCUCCUUGCAGGCCGUCGUUCAUUGCUUGAGCUCUUCGCUGUAGCUUUCAGAAUAACGAACUCAUACACAGGUCCUGACAAAUCUGUAAAAGCUUGAAAUUCAAACCAGUGAAAUCAAUGAAAUAGGAUGCAAAUGAUUAGCAUAUUGCUGCUAAUUUUUAUUUCUAAAUCAGUCGCAGACCCAAUCUUCUUAACUAGUUCACUAUUUUAGGAUUUCGUCAGAAAGCAGACAACUGGGGAAAGGGGUAAC
rnacentral:lncRNA from 1 species